UUGGAGGGCAAGUCUGGUGCCAGCAGCCGCGGUAAUUCCAGCUCCAAUAGCGUAUAUUAAAGUUGUUGCAGUUAAAAAGCUCGUAGUUGAAUUUCGGGAUCAGUACGCUGGUCAUGCCUUUGGUAUGCACUGGUGUCACUGGUUUCUCCCUUCUGAAGAUCCGUGAUGUCAUUAAUUUGGUGUCGCGGGGAAUCAGGACUGUUACUUUGAAAAAAUUAGAGUGUUUAAAGCAAGCUCACGCUUGAAUACAUUAGCAUGGAAUAAUGAAAUAGGACGUUUGGCCCUAUUUUGUUGGUUUCUAGGAUCGACGUAAUGAUUAAUAGGGAUAGUUGGGGGCAUUAGUAUUCAAUUGUCAGAGGUGAAAUUCUUGGAUUUAUUGAAGACUAACUACUGCGAAAGCAUUUGCCAAGGAUGUUUUCAUUAAUCAAGAACGAAAGUUAGGGGAUCGAAGACGAUCAGAUACCGUCGUAGUCUUAACCAUAAACUAUGCCGACUAGGGAUCGGAUGAUGUUAAUUUUAUAAUGACUCAUUCGGCGCCUUACGGGAAAC
rnacentral:rRNA from 1 species